UAUUGUAUUAUUAUAUUAAGUGGUCAUAAAAAUGCGGGAACAUUCUUAACUGAAAAUUCCUGAAGUAAUAUCAAGCGAUAUUUUCUUUUGCAAAAACUUUCGUUACGGUUUUAUUAACGAGUUAUUAACAAAAAAAUAUUGGCUAAUUACAGAUAGCUA